rnacentral:rRNA from 1 species
GAUGAACGCUGGCGGCGUGCCUAAUACAUGCAAGUCGAGCGAACAGAUGAGGAGCUUGCUCCUCUGACGUUAGCGGCGGACGGGUGAGUAACACGUGGAUAACCUACCUAUAAGACUGGGAUAACUUCGGGAAACCGGAGCUAAUACCGGAUAAUAUAUUGAACCGCAUGGUUCAAUAGUGAAAGACGGUUUUGCUGUCACUUAUAGAUGGAUCCGCGCCGCAUUAGCUAGUUGGUAAGGUAACGGCUUACCAAGGCAACGAUGCGUAGCCGACCUGAGAGGGUGAUCGGCCACACUGGAACUGAGACACGGUCCAGACUCCUACGGGAGGCAGCAGUAGGGAAACCUUCCGCAAUGGGCGAAAGCCUGACGGAGCAACGCCGCGUGAGUGAUGAAGGUCUUCGGAUCGUAAAACUCUGUUAUUAGGGAAGAACAAAUGUGUAAGUAACUAUGCACGUCUUGACGGUACCUAAUCAGAAAGCCACGGCUAACUACGUG